rnacentral:rRNA from 1 species
AGGGCGCACGGUGGAUGCCUUGGCACUAGGAGCCGAUGAAGGACGGGACUAACACCGAUAUGCUUUGGGGAGCUGUAAGUAAGCUAUGAUCCAGAGAUUUCCGAAUGGGGGAACCCAAUAUCUUUUAUAGGAUAUUACUUUUCAGUGAAUACAUAGCUGAUUAGAGGUAGACGCAGAGAACUGAAACAUCUUAGUACCUGCAGGAAGAGAAAGAAAAUUCGAUUCCCUGAGUAGCGGCGAGCGAAACGGGAAGAGCCCAAACCAACAAGCUUGCUUGUUGGGGUUGUAGGACUCCGAUAUGGUAGUCUGUUAGUAUAGUUGAAGGAUUUGGAAAAUUCCGCUAAAGAGGGUGAAAGCCCCGUAGACGAAAUGCUGACAACACCUAGGAGGAUCCUGAGUACGGCGGAACACGAGAAAUUCCGUCGGAAUCCGCGGGGACCAUCCCGCAAGGCUAAAUACUCCCUAGUGACCGAUAGUGAACCAGUACCGUGAGGGAAAGGUGAAAAGCACCCCGGAAGGGGAGUGAAAUAGAUCCUGAAACCGUGUGCCUACAACAAGUCAAAGCUCGUUAAUGAGUGAUGGCGUGCCUUUUGUAGAAUGAACCGGCGAGUUACGAUUGCAUGCGAGGUUAAGUCGAAGAGACGGAGCCGCAGCGAAAGCGAGUCUGAAUAGGGCGAAUGAGUAUGUAGUCGUAGACCCGAAACCAUGUGAUCUACCCAUGUCCAGGUUGAAGGUGCGGUAAAACGCACUGGAGGACCGAACCCACGUACGUUGAAAAGUGCGGGGAUGAGGUGUGGGUAGCGGAGAAAUUCCAAACGAACUUGGAGAUAGCUGGUUCUCUCCGAAAUAGCUUUAGGGCUAGCCUCGGAAUUGAGAAUGAUGGAGGUAGAGCACUGUUUGGACUAGGGGCCCAUCUCGGGUUACCGAAUUCAGAUAAACUCCGAAUGCCAUUCAUUUAUAUCCGGGAGUCAGACUGCGAGUGAUAAGAUCCGUAGUCGAAAGGGAAACAGCCCAGACCACCAGCUAAGGUCCCAAAAUAUAUGUUAAGUGGAAAAGGAUGUGGGGUUGCACAGACAACUAGGAUGUUGGCUUAGAAGCAGCCACCAUUUAAAGAGUGCGUAAUAGCUCACUAGUCGAGUGACCCUGCGCCGAAAAUGUACCGGGGCUAAACAUAUUACCGAAGCUGUGGACUACACCAUUAGGUGUAGUGGUAGGAGAGCGUUCUAAGGGCGUUGAAGGUCGAUCGUGAGGACGGCUGGAGCGCUUAGAAGUGAGAAUGCCGGUAUGAGUAGCGAAAGACAGGUGAGAAUCCUGUCCACCGUAUGACUAAGGUUUCCUGGGGAAGGCUCGUCCGCCCAGGGUUAGUCGGGACCUAAGCCGAGGCCGAUAGGCGUAGGCGAUGGACAACAGGUUGAUAUUCCUGUACCAGUUGUUUUUGUUUGAGCAAUGGAGGGACGCAGUAGGCUAAGGAAUGCAUGCGAUUGGAAGUGCAUGUCCAAGCAAUGAGUCUUGAGUAGAGUUAAAUGCUUUACUCUCUAAGGACAAGUUGUGACGGGGAGCGAAAUAAUAGUAGCGAAGUUCCUGAUGUCACACUGCCAAGAAAAGCUUCUAGUGAGAAAACAACUGCCCGUACCGUAAACCGACACAGGUAGUCGAGGAGAGUAUCCUAAGGUGAGCGAGCGAACUCUCGUUAAGGAACUCGGCAAAAUGACCCCGUAACUUCGGGAGAAGGGGUGCUGACUUCGGUCAGCCGCAGUGAAUAGGCCCAAGCGACUGUUUAUCAAAAACACAGGUCUCUGCAAAAUCGUAAGAUGAAGUAUAGGGGCUGACGCCUGCCCGGUGCUGGAAGGUUAAGAGGAUGGGUUAGCUUCGGCGAAGCUCAGAAUUGAAGCCCCAGUAAACGGCGGCCGUAACUAUAACGGUCCUAAGGUAGCGAAAUUCCUUGUCGGGUAAGUUCCGACCCGCACGAAAGGCGUAACGAUUUGGGCACUGUCUCAACGAGAGACUCGGUGAAAUUUUAGUACCUGUGAAGAUGCAGGUUACCCGCGACAGGACGGAAAGACCCCAUGGAGCUUUACUGUAGUUUGAUAUUGAGUGUUUGUACCACAUGUACAGGAUAGGUAGGAGCCGAUGAGACCGGAACGCUAGUUUCGGAGGAGGCGCUGGUGGGAUACUACCCUUGUGUUAUGAACCCUCUAACCCGCACCACUAAUCGUGGUGGGAGACAGUGUCAGAUGGGCAGUUUGACUGGGGCGGUCGCCUCCUAAAAGGUAACGGAGGCGCCCAAAGGUUCCCUCAGAAUGGUUGGAAAUCAUUCGAAGAGUGUAAAGGCAGAAGGGAGCUUGACUGCGAGACCUACAAGUCGAGCAGGGACGAAAGUCGGGCUUAGUGAUCCGGUGGUUCCGCAUGGAAGGGCCAUCGCUCAACGGAUAAAAGCUACCCUGGGGAUAACAGGCUUAUCUCCCCCAAGAGUCCACAUCGACGGGGAGGUUUGGCA